CACCAACUGGACAUGGCUCGUGUACUGGUGCUGUUCAUGUUGCUCUGGAGCUCAGGAUUCCUCCCAGGUUUCCAGACAGAGGAAAAAGAUAUUGAUGAUAUCCGGUUGUUGGGAGGAUCCAGCCGCUGUUCUGGUGUGCUACAGGUGAAGCGCCAGGGAGAGUGGGC